rnacentral:misc_RNA from 1 species
AAGGAGUCUAACAUAUAUGCGAGUAUUUGGGUGGCAAACCCGGAUGCGAAAUGAAAGUGAAUACGAAUGGGAUCCCUUACGGGCGCACCAUUGACCGAUCUUGAUAUCUCUUGAUAGAUUUGAGUUGGAGCAUAUCUGUUGGGACCCGAAAGAUGGUGAACUAUGCCUGGAUAGGAUGAAGCCAGAGGAAACUCUGGUGGAGGUCCGAAGCCGUUCUGACGUGCAAAUCGAUGGUCAAAUCUGGGUAUAGGGGCGAAAGACUAAUCGAACCAUCUAGUAGCUGGUUCCCUC